rnacentral:rRNA from 1 species
UUGUUGUGAGGCUAGACCUUGCAGUAAUGCAGUUAACACAUUAAGUGUACCGCCUGGGGAGUACGGUCGCAAGAUUAAAACUCAAAGGAAUAGACGGGGACCCGCACAAGCGGUGGAGCAUGUGGUUUAAUUUGACGAUACGCGUAGAACCUUACCUGGACUUGACAUAGUAAGAAUGUUUUAGAGAUAGAACAGUGUCUGCUUGCAGAAACUUGCAUACAGGUGCUGCACGGCUGUCGUCAGCUCGUGUCGUGAGAUGUUGGGUUAAGUCCCGCAACGAGCGCAACCCUCGUCGUUAGUUGCUACAGUUCGGCUGAGAACUCUAACGAGACUGCCUGGGUAACCAGGAGGAAGGUGAGGACGACGUCAAGUCAUCAUGGCCCUUACGUCCAGGGCUACACACGUGCUACAAUGGGGCAUACAAAGAGCAGCGAUACCGCGAGGUGGAGCAAAUCUCUUAAAAUGUCUCCCAGUUCGGAUAGUAGUCUGCAACUCGACUACUUGAAGUUGGAAUCGCUAGUAAUCGUAGAUCAGCAAUGCUACGGUGAAUACGUUCCCGGGUCUUGUACUCACCGCCCGUCACACCAUGGGAGUUGAACUCAUUCGAAGCGGGGAUGCUAAGAUAGCUACCCUCCACAGUGGAUUCAGCGACUGGGGUGAAGUCGUAACAAGGUAACCGUAGGAGAACCUGCGGCUGGAUCACCUCCUU